AGCAGCCGCGGUAAUUCCAGCUCCAAUAGCGUAUAUUAAAGUUGUUGCAGUUAAAAAGCUCGUAGUUGAACUUCGGGGUCUACCCAUUGGUCAGGCUUAAUUGUCUGCACUGGUGAGAUGGAUCUCUACCUUCUGAGGAACUUUUAUGCCAUUUAUUUGGUGUGAUUGGAAAUCAGGACUGUUACUUUGAAAAAAUUAGAGUGUUUAAAGCAGACUAUCGUCUGAAUACAUUAGCAUGGAAUAAUGAAAUAGGACGGACUGAUUCUAUUUCGUUGGUUUCUAGGAUCACCGUAAUGAUUAAUAGGGAUAGUUGGGGGCAUUAGUAUUCAAUUGUCAGAGGUGAAAUUCUUGGAUUUAUUGAAGACUAACUACUGCGAAAGCAUUUGCCAAGGAUGUUUUCAUUAAUCAAGAACGAAAGUUAGGGGAUCGAAGACGAUCAGAUACCGUCGUAGUCUUAACCAUAAACUAUGCCGACUAGGGAUCGGACGAAGUUAAUUUUAUAAUGACGCGUUCGGCACCUUACG
rnacentral:rRNA from 1 species